CGCGUUGUUAAAAUAUAUGUAUAAGAAUCGCGGUUGAAUGCUAACAGUGAUAACCAGAACUUGUGUUUAUAUAGUGAAGUUAUUUCCUGUUUGGAAAGGGAGUAGGCCUAUUUAUUUGAAGGUGUUAAGUGAGCUAUUAUGUUGUCAGUUACUUAUGUGGUGUUGGUGGGAAAGGGACUGGACUGUAAAAAGUGGCACCCUGCUGCUGUGUAUUGUAAAACCGUGUAAUUGUGUUUUAGGCACUUGGUGGUGAAUUAAUGGAUGACUAAAAAUGUUACUGCACUUCUCUCCCAUUAAUUGUGUUACAGGUAGACUGCAUAAAUAUUUUCCAUUCAUAAUUCAUGAAUUGCUGCAUUUGCAGAGUGGGCUGCACCGAGUGGAACCACUUAACGCACAUCCACAGUACAUCUUCCGAGAUAGGUGUGGCUAUGUCUGAUGGAAUGUGACUGUUAAUAUUGAAGUCUAUAACAGUUAUCUGCUGUAACGCAUUGCUUGACUUAUGUUGAAAUAUCUGAACAACUGUUAUAGUCUUGGUGACCUACUUUUGUUGCAGUGGAUUAAGCCUCUGAGCCUCAUCGUAUUUUUGGAGAACUGAGGCAGGGUGAUGCUUUUGAUAACCCUCGUGCUGUGAAAAGUAUUCCAGCUUGUGACAAUGAAAUCUAUGAUGUCCUGUACAUAUUGACAGUGUGUCCUAUUUGGAAGAGUCUCUUCAGCGUGGUAGACAAUUGACAGUUCCAGCUGUUGAACUUUUUUACAUGAUAUGAGUAGCGCACUCAACAACUGCAAAUAAGUACCCAGUAAACUGAAAAUAACUCCACUGUGUAAACAUGAGCUCAGUGAAGCUAUUCUGUCCAUUUGCAUAAUACAAAUGGACAGGAAAUGCUCGGGAGCAGCACCUGUGGUGGGGGAAGCUGCCUUUCCCGUAACGGAUCACUAAGAAUCAGUUUCUCCUCUUGCAGUGUAGAACAUUGUGCAGAGAUUUACAUACGUCCAGUUCAUGUACAUUCCCUGCAUUAGUGUUGUUAGUAACUUGUAUCUGCAUUCUGUGUAGUGUUAACUCAUUUUGUGCAAAAUAAACCCUCCCCGCGGACAUCUGCACGCUGUGUCACCAGCGAUUCGUGUGGCGUAUUGUGGACGGAGAACUUUGUGAUGUACCCUGUAGUUGCUUCUUGUGACGUAGCGAGGGGGAUCACCUGCUUAACCUUCAGUUUGCUUACCUAGGAAGGAGGGAAGUACAUUAAUUUUUUACCAUUGGAACAAUAUAUUUAGUGCCGUAAUUUGCAAUUUUUUUCAUCCUCUGCAAACUAUUAGUCCUAGAGAAAAAGUGACUAGAACCUUUUUUGGCAGGGAAGUGAAUGCAGGUUAAUUUUGUAUUGGGGAAGAAUUUCCCCAGGAUCCGUUGUUUUUGAGUCAUUCAAGAACAAAAAUAAAAAAUUACCUUUAAACCUACCCCCACACCAAUGCUCACACUCCACAGGUCAGGGUUUUUAGUACAAUGUUUGUGACAAUAUAUCCUAGAACUGUGUAAAACUUUGUGACUACAUGACUUUUCCCCUAAUUUUCCUUCAUUGACUGGACUAAAUGUUAGUGUUUGGAACUGACACAGAUAGUGAAGGGCUUCAUCAUCAAAGGCAUUUAGCGACAGCUGUAAACAGAAUGGCAGAAGAACCUUUUGAGAGGACGGAAAAGAAACCCGAGCCUGUCAGCAUUACCUCCCCUGAAAUGUAAGAAACUGGUGGAUUCCAAGACAAAAUUGUGGAAAAUGGAGACAUCUUCAAAUAACAGAAAGAAAUAAAGGCUGAAGAGGCAGGAUCACAGAUGUCAGAUGAAAGUUACCGCAAAAAAGGUUAAGUUGGAAAAGAGUGAAAAUGAAAAUGGAUGCUUGUGCAGUGACUGAAGUUGAAGUCAUAAAUUGAGGAUGAUGAAGCUACACGAAAAAGCUCUCAGCUCUACAGUCCGAGUCUGACCGACUUGUCCGACGAGCCACUGUCGGCGGCACUGCGAUCGCAGGCCCCUCACGGUGUGUGCUUACUCAGGCAAGUGUCGUGGGGAUUUGUUAAUGUAGAGGCUGACUGUACGCUGUAGGUGUCUGCAGACUUCCAUCAUUAGAGGAACAGUUCUAUGAACAGUACAUGCCAUUCUCGGGAGUGUGGACCACUUCGUUGGUUACUCGAGUUCCUCAUCUGACCCCAGAACUGUCAUUUACUGCAGCUAGGCAUUUAGCACUAAUAAAAUGUGAGUUACAUAAAAUGGAAGUGUCCGACAUAUCAGCAGCCGUGAAGAUAUGAAAAUUUAAAGGUAUCUCCAUUUUGAGCAGUACAAACUUUAGAAUUAUUAUUCUAAUUUGUUAAUCCUGUGGUGUAGUCCACGUACUGUGUGAAAGUGACUUGUCAACAUAUGAUCGAAGAACAUUUAUUAUAAACUUUCCUGGUGAUCUCAGUGAACUGCAUUUGGUAAUAUCAAGACCUAUGAACUGGUUAAGAGACUUACUCAGCUAUAAAACUUUUGUGCCUGUGUUUGUUUAUAUUAUGCAUUAUAUGUAUAUUUAACCAAUUGUAUAAGAAAUCUUUAAAUAAGAAUGUAAAAUGACUGUGUAAACUUGUGACUAGUAAUAAUUGAAGGUUAUUGGCAACGAAAUGUUGUUGUAAGCUUGUAGUGUAUCUUACGGAAUAUGCCCAUGACACAGGCAAGUCCUAGGAGCAAUACACAUUGGGUUCAGAGCUGGCUAGAAAUAACUUUUUCAGUUAUUUUGAAAUUUAACUUAGUCAUCUGCCAGAAUGCCUAUGAUGUUGGGGGCUAGAAUAAAUCUGCAGUAACUCAUUUUCUGUUGUAAAAGGCAAAUAAAAGGUGUUUUAUACCUAGCGAAGGUUUUA